rnacentral:rRNA from 1 species
GAUGAACGCUGGCGGCGUGCCUAAUACAUGCAAGUCGAGCGAACAGAUGAGGAGCUUGCUCCUCUGACGUUAGCGGCGGACGGGUGAGUAACACGUGGAUAACCUACCUAUAAGACUGGGAUAACUUCGGGAAACCGGAGCUAAUACCGGAUAAUAUAUUGAACCGCAUGGUUCAAUAGUGAAAGACGGUUUUGCUGUCACUUAUAGAUGGAUCCGCGCCGCAUUAGCUAGUUGGUAAGGUAACGGCUUACCAAGGCGACGAUGCGUAGCCGACCUGAGAGGGGGAUCGGCCACACUGGAACUGGGACACGGUCCAGACUCCUACGGGAGGCAGCAGUAGGGAAUCUUCCGCAAUGGGCGAAAGCCUGACGGAGCAACGCCGCGUGAGUGAUGAAGGUCUUCGGAUCGUAAAACUCUGUUAUUAGGGAAGAACAAAUGUGUAAGUAACUAUGCACGUCUUGACGGUACCUAAUCAGAAAGCCACGGCUAACUACGUG